UCACUACUGGCUGUUGCAUGCACGCUUUGCUCUGAUUUGCACGUAGUCGGUCACAUGACUUAAUGCCGCCGUUUUACUGGAUAUCUUCGCCUUUCUUGUGGUCAUGUUUGGUGCGCGCCGCGCUCAGUGUGCCCGCUUUCUCUGAGCGUGGUGGUUGUGUCAUGUGCUCAUCAGUACCAGCGUGAACAUUUGUCAGUGCCUGGUAACGUUAUCGCCGUGCGCUUUGGAGCUCCAUCUCCGCGGCGUCUGAACGUCUUACGCCUAUGUAGAGGACACGGUGACCCCGUUCCCAUCCAUGGUUUCCCCAGCGAGAGCCACCACCAUCAGUUACAAGACGUGCCGCCCAACGACAUCGACGUCUGCGAAACUUGCAGCUCUUUGCGCUGCCCUUCGUCUCUUCAGCCAGUAUGCAGUGAUUAGAAAGCAGCACUGCUGUCUUUACUAUCAGCCCUGCAGCGCGGACCACACGGACACUAGUAUUCGAGGGGACGCCGCCGUCUGCUGGAUAGAAACGCCGGUACGCUGCCCAGAAGUCGGCGGGUGACGGUGGCCACGCAGUGACAGCCGGCAACCAGUGCACCAAGACCAGGCCUAUAGCUCCAAGGGAC